AGUAAUCCAGCAAAUUUGCCAUGUUCCAUGGUGGUCACUGCUACUAAAAAGGAGGAAACCAGAGAGCAGGAGCAGGAUCCGUCCACCUCCAGUGUGGAGAGCAGACAGCAGGGGAGACGAGCCAGGAGACCACCGCAGCCAGGCAGAAGAGAGAUGGUGACAGCAGGGACCAGCAGGGACCAGGGUGCUGACUGUGGAAGUGGCAAGGAACCGUCAGGGGCACGAUGAGGUGAUAUUUACAGCCCCUUUGGCUGAGCACUUACUUUGCACUUAAUGGCACUUUGCAUAAUGCACCCAACCAUCCACGACAUGAAUAUGAUGGGCUCCAUUUUACAGGCAAAGGCUGACACAGAACCCACAAGUCAACAAGUGAACAAAGCGGCAGUCCAGCGUGCUGGCGGGAGAGAAAGGGCCCCCCUCCUCCUCCUCAGCCCUCUCUCCAUUCAUCUCCCCUUCGCACCCUUAAUAAAAGCCCGGAGAUUGA